GACCCCGUAGCUCAGCUGGAUAGAGCAACUGCCUCCUAAGCAGUAGGUCACAGGUUCGAAUCCUGUCGGGGUCGCCA
rnacentral:tRNA from 1 species